GAUGAAGAACGUAGCGAAAUGCGAUAAGUAAUGUGAAUUGCAGAAUUCAGUGAAUCAUCGAAUCUUUGAACGCACAUUGCGCCCAUUAGUAUUCUAGUGGGCAUGCCUGUUCGAGCGUCAUUUCAACCCUUAAGCCUAGCUUAGUAUUGGGAAUCGACUUUACUGUCGUUCCUCAAAUUCAACGGCGGAUUUAUAGCAAUCUCUGAACGUAGUAAUUUUUUUUCUCGUUUUUGAAAUACUAUAAACCUCAGCCGCUAAACCCCCAAUUUCUUAUGGUUGAACUCGGAUCAGGUAGGAAUACCCGCUGAACUUAAGCAUAUCAAUAAGCGGAGGA
rnacentral:misc_RNA from 1 species